AUUGAACGCUGGCGGCAUGCCUUACACAUGCAAGUCGAACGGCAGCACGGGAGCAAUCCUGGUGGCGAGUGGCGAACGGGUGAGUAAUAUAUCGGAACGUGCCCAGUCGUGGGGGAUAACGCAGCGAAAGCUGUGCUAAUACCGCAUACGAUCUAAGGAUGAAAGCGGGGGAUCGCAAGACCUCGCGCGAUUGGAGCGGCCGAUAUCAGAUUAGCUAGUUGGUGAGGUAAAGGCUCACCAAGGCUACGAUCUGUAGCUGGUCUGAGAGGACGACCAGCCACACUGGAACUGAGACACGGUCCAGACUCCUACGGGAGGCAGCAGUGGGGAAUUUUGGACAAUGGGCGCAAGCCUGAUCCAGCAAUGCCGCGUGCAGGAUGAAGGCCUUCGGGUUGUAAACUGCUUUUGUACGGAACGAAACGGUCUACCCUAAUACGGUGGGCUAAUGACGGUACCGUAAGAAUAAGCACCGGCUAACUACGUG
rnacentral:rRNA from 1 species